GCCUGAUCAAUUCAAGGCCAUAAACGAUGAGGGUAUGCCAAUGUACCAGAGGCCAUUCAUGAAGGGUAAACUCUACAUUCACUUCAGUGUGGAGUUCCCGGACUCCUUGAACCCCGAACAGUGCAAGGCGCUGGAGGGUGUGCUGCCCCCCAGGACUUCUGUGCAGCUCUCGGAUAUGGAGUUGGAUGAAUGUGAAGAGACCACUCUCCACGAUGUCAACAUCGAAGAGGAGAUGCGCAGGAAGCAAGUACAAGAGGCAUACGAUGAAGAUGACGAUAUGCACGGCGGAGCACAGAGGGUGCAGUGUGCUCAACAAUGAUUUUGAAAUGGGGGAAGCUACUAUGCAUAACAUUUGAUGGUGUUUCGAGAUGAAAAUUUUCAGAUGACCCCAAAUGGAGGAAAUGGAUGUAGCAGCAACACCACCAGGCAGCAGUCAUGUCCAAAUUUUCUCAAUAAAUAGAUGAAUUUUAUUUUAAUUCAGUCGGUAGGAUUACGAAGUUUCUGGAUUUAUGUCUUUGUUUUCUUAUGUGCUUUUGCU
rnacentral:misc_RNA from 1 species